rnacentral:rRNA from 1 species
UACGAAGGGGGCUAGCGUUGCUCGGAAUCACUGGGCGUAAAGCGCACGUAGGCGGCUUCUUAAGUCAGGGGUGAAAUCCUGGAGCUCAACUCCAGAACUGCCUUUGAUACUGGGAAGCUUCGAGUCCGGAAGAGGUGAGUGGAACUGCGAGUGUAGAGGUGAAAUUCGUAGAUAUUCGCAAGAACACCAGUGGCGAAGGCGGCUCACUGGUCCGGUACUGACGCUGAGGUGCGAAAGCGUGGGGAGCAAACAGG